CAUGGUGGAGGCGCGGCACACAGCUCAGCAACACGUGGCUAACCUGCCCUUUGGACGGGAACAACCCCGGGAAACUGGGGCUAAUUUCCGAUGGGUGAGGAUUUCUGGAAUGGAACUUCGCUCAAAGGACGUUUAGAGCAUGCUUCUANGCGUUGCCCAAGGAUGGGGCCGCGGCCGAUCAGGUUGUUGGUGAGGUAACGGCUCACCAAGCCUUUAACCGGUACGGGCCGUGGGAGCGGGAGCCCGGAGAUGGGCACUGAGACAAGGGCCCAGGCCCUACGGGGCGCAGCAGUCGCGAAAACUCCGCAAUACGCGAAAGCGUGACGGGGCCAUCCCGAGUGCUGUCCGCUGAGGACGGCUUUUACCCAGUGUAGAUAGCUGGGGGAAUAAGGUGAGGGCAAGUCUGGUGUCAGCCGCCGCGGUAAUACCAGCUCUCCGAGUGGUGGGGAUGUUUAUUGGGCCUAAAGCAUCCGUAGCUGGCUGGGCAAGUCCUCCGUUAAUCCAGCGAUUUAAUCGUUGGCCUGCGGGGGAUACUGUUCGGCUUGGAGGCGAGAGAGGCCGACGGUAUUUUCGGGGUAGGGGUGAAAUCCUAUAAUCCCGAGAAGACCACCAGUGGCGAAGGCUGUCGGCUAGAACGCGCUCGACGGUGAGGGAUGAAAGCUAGGGGAGCGAACCGGAUUAGAUACCCGGGUAGUCCUAGCCGUAAACGAUGCAGGCUAGGUGUUAGGGCGGCUACGCGCCGCUCUAGUGCCGCAGGGAAACUGUUUAGCCUGCCGCCUGGGGAGUACGGCUGCAAGGCUGAAACUUAAAGGAAUUGGCGGGGGAGCACCACAAGGGGUGAAGCUUGCGGUUUAAUUGGAGUCAACGCCGGAAAUCUCACCGGGGGCGACAGCAGGGUGAAAGCCAGAUUAAAGGUCUUGCCAGACGAGCUGAGAGGAGGUGCAUGGCCGUCGCCAGUUCGUGCCGUGAGGUGUCCUGUUAAGUCAGGCAACGAUCGAGACCCGCAUCCUCCGUUGCUAUUGGUCUUGAACCAAGCACACUGGGGAGACUGCCGCCGACAAGGCGGAGGAAGGAGCGGGCCACGGCAGGUCAGUAUGCCCCGAAUCUCCCGGGCCACACGCGAGCUGCAAUGGCAGGUACAAUGGGAUCCGACCUCGUAAGGGGAAGGAAAUCUUUAAAGCCUGCCGUAGUUGGGAUCGAGGGUUGAACUCACCCUCGUGAACAUGGA
rnacentral:rRNA from 1 species